rnacentral:rRNA from 1 species
GUGCCAGCAGCCGCGGUAAUACGGAGGAUGCAAGCGUUAUCCGGAAUGAUUGGGCGUAAAGCGUCCGCAGGUGGCGAUGUAAGUCUGCUGUUAAAGAGUGAGGCUCAACCUCAUAAGAGCAGUGGAAACUACAUAGCUAGAGUACGUUCGGGGCAGAGGGAAUUCCUGGCGUAGCGGUGAAAUGCGUAGAGAUCAGGAAGAACACCAGUGGCGAAGGCGCUCUGCUAGGCCGUAACUGACACUGAGGGACGAAAGCUAGGGGAGCGAAUGGGAUUAGAUACCCCAGUAGUCCUAGCCGUAAACGAUGGAUACUAGGCGUGGCUUGUAUCGACCCGAGCCGUGCCGUAGCUAACGCGUUAAGUAUCCCGCCUGGGGAGUACGCCGGCAACGGUGAAACUCAAAGGAAUUGACGGGGGCCCGCACAAGCGGUGGAGUAUGUGGUUUAAUUCGAUGCAACGCGAAGAACCUUACCAAGGCUUGACAUGUCGCGAAUCUUCUUGAGAGGGAAGAGUGCCUUCGGGAGCGCGAACACAGGUGGUGCAUGGCUGUCGUUAGCUCGUGUCGUGAGAUGUUGGGUUAAGUCCCGCAACGAGCGCAACCCUCGUUUUUAGUUGCCAGCAUUAAGUUGGGCACUCUAGAGAGACUGCCGGUGACAAACCGGAGGAAGGUGGGGAUGACGUCAAGUCAGCAUGCCCCUUACGCCUUGGGCUACACACGUACUACAAUGCUCCGGACAGAGGGCAGCAAGCAUGCGAAUGCAAGCAAAUCCCGUAAACCGGAGCUCAGUUCAGAUCGCAGGCUGCAACUCGCCUGCGUGAAGGAGGAAUCGCUAGUAAUUGCAGGUCAGCAUACUGCAGUGAAUUCGUUCCCGGGCCUUGUACACACCGCCCGUCACACCAUGGAAGCUGGUAGUGUCCGAAGUCAUUACUCCAACCUUUCGGGGGGGAGGAUGCCUAAGGCAGGACUGGUGACUGGGGUGAAGUCGUAACAAGGUAACC